rnacentral:rRNA from 1 species
CAGGCAGUCGCCACGGUAAUACGAAGGGGGCUAGCGUUGUUCGGAUUUACUGGGCGUAAAGGGCGCGUAGGCGGACUGAUAAGUCAGGGGUGAAAUCCCAAGGCUCAACCUUGGAACUGCCUUUGAUACUGUUUGUCUUGAGUUCGAGAGAGGUAAGUGGAACUGCGAGUGUAGAGGUGAAAUUCGUAGAUAUUCGCAAGAACACCAGUGGCGAAGGCGGCUUACUGGCUCGAAACUGACGCUGAGGCGCGAAAGCGUGGGGAGCAAACAGGAUUAGAGACCCCCGUAGUCCCUGUCUCUUAUA